GACGAACGCUGGCGGCGUGCUUAACACAUGCAAGUCGAACGGAAAGGCCCUGCUUUUGUGGGGUGCUCGAGUGGCGAACGGGUGAGUAACACGUGAGUAACCUGCCCUGGACUUUGGGAUAACUUCAGGAAACUGGGGCUAAUACCGGAUAGGAGCUCCUGCUGCUUGGUGGGGGUUGGAAAGUUUCGGCGGUUGGGGAUGGACGCGCGGGUCAUCAGCUUGUUGGUGGGGUAGUGGCUUACCAAGGCUUUGACGGGUAGCCGGCCUGAGAGGGUGACCGGCAACGUUGGGACUGAGAUACGGCCCAGACUCCUACGGGAGGCAGCAGUGGGGAAUAUUGCACAAUGGGCGGAAGCCUGAUGCAGCAACGCCGCGUGCGGGGUGAAGGCCUUCGGGUUGUAAACCGCUUUCGCCUGUGACGAAGCGUGAGUGACGGUAAUGGGUAAAGAAGCACCGGCUAACUACGUG
rnacentral:rRNA from 1 species